AAAUUGUUAUUGUUAAUAGAACCCUCGGUGAAAAAAGUAAGACCUGAAAAAAGUAGAACAAUGUAGAAAUUCAGAGCUACAAAAUAGAGAGGAAAUGUUGUAGUGAUUGGCUUAGCAACUUUACAUAGUUUUACAUAGAAUUAAACUAGCCAAUUGCAAAUGCUGGUAUGUUGUUGUCAGGCAGAAAUAGUGUCCAAUCAGAUUCAGGGUCACAUUUCACUGACAGCAUCAUGUGACUUUUAUGUGAGUGUUGUCUUAGUUGGUAGCUAUUUGAUGCAUGAAUUGAGCUUGUGUCAUUUAUCCUUUCUGAUGAGAGUUCUUCCGUAUAUUGCUAUUGUGUGAUGGUUUUGUGGAUGGCUGCCUGGAACCUGUUUCCUGGGUGAUGGAAAACUAGCAUAAUUUUUUUCUCUGAACUUUCACUUUAACCUGAAAUCCUCACUUAUGGUUGCUUUGGGAUGUGUGUUCUUGGAAAGCUACAGCAACCCACCCUGCACACCUAUGUCCACUAGUGCUAAGUUAAGCUUCAUCAGUAUGCAGUGUAUUCCUGAGUCCUGGCCAGAGGAGCAGGUGGCUGGAUACAUUAACAGGCUGGAGGUCCACCAUUGAUAGGAUCCAUAGAUACAGAUAUACAUGUACAACAGACAAAUAGCCAAGCACAAGUCACCCUCUUAAAUAAUUAGAUCAAAUUAAUUUUUUAAGUAGCUUAUUUACUUUUAAGAUUGUUUUGAUGGUAACUGUUUACAGGUUUAUGUACAUAAAAAUAUGUAUAUGCAUACAAGUAAAAUGAACUUCUUAUUCAUUAAAAUUCUACAUACAAUUUAUGAAUUAUUUAAUCAUGUCAAAUUUUAUUUUCAUGUUUAAUUUAUGAAGAUUGAAAAUCUGUGAUAAACCUAUAUCUUGUGAUAAUUUAUAUUGUGCAGUUUAUGGGGUAAAUAUACACAAACUCUUAAUUUUUUUUGGAUUUAAUUGGUUAAUAUAUACCCACUAGUUCAUUGUAGAACAAGUUUGGAGCUGCUACAUUAAAAUGAAUAUUUUAUCUAUGAAUUAUUAAAGAACUGUUUGAUGUUAGCGUUGUUGGUUCUAUAGUUAAAGUCUGUAUAAAGUGUAUUUCUAUAAAAUGAGAAUGAAUUUUACCAAUUUAUUUAGAAAAUUUAGUUUCUUGCUUUAGCAUCAUUGAACUGUGCAUUUGUACAUAUACUCUUCAAAUGAUUGGGGUAUAAUCUGUAUGAAGGUAACGGAAUUUGUUUAGAAAAGAGAUUUUUUUUGUAGAAAUUUGUAAAAAUAAAGUUUGAAAUUUU